rnacentral:lncRNA from 1 species
GGUAAUCCAAGGAAAGAGUUGAUGAUGGUCCCAACGAGGUAAGUCAUUGGUGAGUAUACACUUGAGUUAUGUUACGAGUUGUGCAAGUAUGUAUAUUAAGCCUAUGAGAAUGCCUUGAUAUGUGAUGAUCUAUGAUGCAUAAUAUGUGUUCUUACCAUGAUGGAUGAAAUGAUGUUGUAUUAAUUUUGUGAACAAUGAUCAUGAAUGAGUAACUUAGCCUUGACAGAUUUGAGUUACUGUAGUAGUGAAACUUUGAAAAUACACUAAAAAUAGUGGAAAAUUAGUUAGAGGUAGAAUAAAAUAUGAGAUUAAAGCUUAAUGAGUCUAUUUUCACAUGAAAGAAACAGGGGAAGAAAAAGAAUUCUAUAUUGUGUGAUAUUUGAAUUCUUGUAAAACAGGGUCUGAAUGAAUUCGAGAUCCCCUAUUCUAAUUUUAGAAAUUCAUCAUAAAUUGUAAAAAAAUUAUUAAGAGUCAUACCUUAGAUACAUGGAUUCCUUAUUGAGUCUAUUUUUAAGGGAAACAAAUGGCAUUGUCAUUGGAAUUCUGUACAGGGAGAAAUUUGGUUUGUAGUGCACAAGGGUCAGAGUGGUCAUACCC